UACGUAGGGUGCAAGCGUUGUCCGGAAUUAUUGGGCGUAAAGGGCUCGUAGGCGGUCCAUCACGUCGGGAGUGAAAAGCUGGGGCUUAACCCCAGUCCUGCUUCCGAUACGGGUGGACUAGAGGUAGGCAGGGGAGAACGGAAUCCUGGUGUAGCGGUGAAAUGCGCAGAUAUCAGGAGGAACACCGGUGGCGAAGGCGGUUCUCUAGCUAUUACCUGACGCUGAGGCGCGAGAGCAUGGGGGAGCAAACAGG
rnacentral:rRNA from 1 species